AGACAGCAGUCGCCGCGGGAAUACGGAAGGUCCAGGCGUUAUCCGGAUUUAUUGGGUUUAAAGGGAGCGUAGGCUGGAGAUUAAGUGUGUUGUGAAAUGUAGACGCUCAACGUCUGACUUGCAGCGCAUACUGGUUUCCUUGAGUACGCACAACGUUGGCGGAAUUCGUCGUGUAGCGGUGAAGUACUUAGACAUGACGAAGAACUCCGAUUGCGAAGGCAGCUGACGGGAGCGCAACUGACGCUUAAGCUCGAAGGUGCGGGUAUCAAACAGGAUUAGAUACCCCUGUAGUCCCUGUCUCUUAUAC
rnacentral:rRNA from 1 species